rnacentral:rRNA from 1 species
ACGCUCGACACCUAGGAGGCAGCAGUGGGGAAUAUUGCACAAUGGGGGAAACCCCGAUGCAGCGACGCCGCGUGAGCGAAGAAGUAUUUCGGUAUGUAAAGCUCUAUCAGCAGGGAAGAAACUGACGGUACCUGACUAAGAAGCACCGGCUAAAUACGUGCCAGCAGCCGACGGUAAUCUGAGGCGGGCUGGCAAGGC